GGCCACAUCUUAUUGUAAAACUAUCUCCCAUAUGAUCAAUGAAAUUAAGCAACGUCAAGCAUGGCCAGUACUGAGAUGGGUGACCACUUGGAAAUAUCAGGUGUCGUAAG